rnacentral:rRNA from 1 species
UUCCGGUUGAUCCUGCCGGACCCGACUGCUAUUUGGGUGAGGAUAAACCAUGCGAGUUGUAUGGGAUACCUAAAUUUCCCAUAGCAAACUGCUUAGUAACACAUGAUCAACUUACCCUAUGGAGAAAUAUAACCUCGGGAAACUGAGGAUAAUGCUUCAUAGUUGAAUAGGCUUGGAAAAGUUUUUCAAUGAAAGGGAUAAGAAAAAUGGUUCUUAUCUGCCAUAGGAUAGGAUCGUGCUCGAUUAUGGUUGUUGGUGAGGUAACGGCUCACCAAGCCGAUAAUCGAUAGGGGCCGUGAGAGCGGGAGCCCCAAGAUGGGUACUGAGACAGCGACCCAGGCCUUACGAGGCGCAGCAGGUACGAAACCUCCGCAAUACACGAAAGUGUGACGGGGUUACCCAAAGUGUUCUUAUUGAACUGUGGCAGGUGAGUAAUGUCCCCUGCUAGAAAGGAGAGGGCAAGGCUGGUGCCAGCCGCCGCGGUAAAACCAGCUCUUCAAGUGGUCGGGAUAAUUAUUGGGCUUAAAGUGUCCGUAGCCGGUUUAGUAAGUUCCUGGUAAAAUCAGGUAGCUUAACUAUCUGUAUGCUAGGAAUACUGCUAUACUAGAGGGCGGGAGAGGUCUGAGGUACUACAGGGGUAGGGGUGAAAUCUUAUAAUCCUUGUAGGACCACCAGUGGCGAAGGCUGUCGACUAGAACGCGCUCGACGGUGAGGGACGAAAGCUGGGGUAGCGAACCGGAUUAGAUACCCGGGUAGUCCCAGCCGUAAACGAUGCGGGCUAGGUGUUGGAAUGGCUACGUGCCAUUUCAGUGCCGCAGGGAAGCCAUUAAGCCCGCCGCCUGGGGAGUACGGCCGCAAGGCUGAAACUUAAAGGAAUUGGCGGGGGAGCACCACAAGGCGUGAAGCUUGCGGUUCAAUUGGAGUCAACGCCGGA